rnacentral:misc_RNA from 1 species
CAGAACACUUGGCAUGGAAAUGGUACACUUCUGCUUUAUUAUUAUUAUUUUUUGGCAUUUAAUUGCUUUCUCCUUUCCUUGUUCUAUGCUUGACUUACUUUGAUAACAUAAAUUCUACAGAUAAUUACUGUUUGUGCAUUGUGUGAUCAUUGCCAACUGCAUGCCAUUACACAUUUCAUUCUAAUGAGUGAUAAUUGGUCAAUGCUAUGAUGAGCAAGUGGAACGACAUUAGCUUUACCUCCUACUUGUUCUUUAACCAUUUUCAUUUGUUUUCUCUUUCUAUGUUCUUUCUUACAGUGUUAACUUCUUUGAUGUUUUAAAACAUGGUUCACUCUAUCUUUGCUCAAUGUUGCUUCAUUUAUUAUCAGUUCAUGUUGACUAUGGUUCCCGUCUUUGUUUGGUUCCACACAACUUUCAUUAGAAGCAUUAUAAUUAAUGUAUUUGUAAUUUAUUACAAACAAAAAGCACAUUUAUUGGAUGGAUAUUCUUCACCUUUCUGCAAUCUAGUUCUCAUGUAUGCUAGUGGAAGUGAUCCAUUUGUGAAUGAGGUAGUAUUAUGGUUAAAGAGAGCCCCUCAGGUGUUGCAGAUUAUCAUUUCCUGGUGGCUUCUUAUGAAAUUGGUCUAAAACCAUUCUGUAACAGUACAAAAUCUGAGGCUGCUCUAGUUUUAGUAUUGAAGCAGCAGAUAUCAGUGUCUUCAUUCCUCGAAAUGUUCAUCCUGCUAAUACUUUCUCCAGUCUAAUUUUCCAGCAUAUCCUUGAAUUUGGGAAGGCAAUUAUGGAUUUUUCUGGUGCCAUUAUCUCAAACUAUUUUUAAUUGUGCUCUGAGAUUUGGAAAUGUUUACAUGCUUUUAUAUGAUUUGUUCAAAUAGGUAGACUUUAACAAAGUUGGCUAUUGCCACUGUGCCUUCUGUUUUUGUGUUGACUUGUGUCAUAGUUUAUUAUAAAAAUUAUCAUUAGUAUUUGUUCUGCCAUUGCCAUGUGUGCCACAAUCAAUAACUGUGUGGCUGUUAAUGAUCCCUUUUUUUUUCCCCUCUGACUAACAUUGUAUGCUAAUGGAAUCAUCUUAACAUAUGACUUUUAUCCAUCAUUCAUGGGCAUGCCAUAUAUAUGCAGAGACUGAUUAUUUGAGUUGUAUGUUUAUUAGCACUCGAUCAUAUCAUCUGUUUGGCUGAUCAUCUCUCAAGUUUGCUUUAUCUUUGAAGUUUGCUUUAUCUUUGAAGUAUGCUUCACAGUCAAAAUGGAUGAUCUGUUUUCACUUUCAUAACUUAAAUCCAGAAGGCGAGAUUGCUUGCAUGUACCUUAUUUUUUCUCUGGAUGGUACAGGGAUUUCGGUAUGUGGCAUCAGGUCCCAUGGUCAGAUCAUCAUACAAGGCAGGCGAAUUUUAUAUCAAAUCCAUGAUAGAAUCAGAUCGGGCUGCAUCUUCACAACUUCCUAACUCUUGAUGAGGGCCUCUUUUUUUUUUAUUAUCUUUUUAAUUUCCCUUACUUUUCCUUUCUCCUCCACAUCACAUGCUGAUCACUUUGUGUAUUGCUUGAUCAAUGUUUACGGAAGUACAAACUCAAUGGCUUUAGCUCAUGUAAGUGAUUUUUUAGAAGCUUCAGUUGGAAAAUGCCAACCCUUUCUCUCAAGGUUAAAUAAACUCAAGCUCGUUCUAAUCUAUAUUAGGGUUGUAAAUUCAAUCUGUUGUAAUUUAAAAAUUUGUCCCUUUCUUCAAUUCUUUCCAUUGAGAUUUUCUUCUAGUUUGGUUGAUGCCUAGUACGGUAUCAUUUGUCAAGGAUAUAAACUUCCCAUUCCAUACAACAGGAAUGUAUACGGACAAGACUAUUAGCUAUUUUCUUUUUUGUAAGAUACAAUGGCUUUUCCACCAGGUAGCUUGUUAAUUUUGAUGAUCCUAGCGCAAUGUUCACUUAAAUUUACACAUUCUGACUAUGGUCCAUUUGAUUGCAAUGUUUCUGCUAGCAAAAUGUACUUGAACCUUGCACAGAAGUUCAGUUGCACGUCACCCAGGUGCUGUUGGUGCCUAAUGCACUAGUUGGAGGAAGAAAAGCAUGCUGUGAUUUCUCACCAAGGUAAAUGGGUAGAUUUUACGGUGGUUUUGGAGUUUGAUUUCGAGGUCCCUACUUCCUACAGAAGAGGACAAGGAAUAACGUUCUAUUUUGAAGGCCUCAAAUAGCCACAAGCCUGUAAUUGCAUCCAGUCUGUUCCUCAAUCUACUCAUUCUCGUUGGAGUCCAAUCCAUCAGACAUCAGUUUCUCCGCCCUUUAUUACCGUUAAGAUUUCAAAUCCACUACCCCCAAUACUCGAAAUGGGUUGUUGUAUGAGCUCCAGAGCAGUAAGAGAGCCGCAUCAACCCAAAGCCCCAGACUACCACCGUCCUCCACCAAAACGUCCUGCACCAGAACCCAAGAGCUCUCAUGUUCCCAUAACUUCACUUGAUGAAGAAACAGUCAAAGAAGUCCUUUCUGAAACCCCCAUCCCAAAAGUACCACAAAUGAGUCCAUCACCACAACAGAAAAACACCCAAAACCCCGUCGUUUAUGAACCUAAAAGCCAAGAGAACAAACGCAAAGAAGAGAAGGAAGAAGAAGAAGUAGAAAGAACCCCUGAAAUCUCUCAAGCCUCAGAGAUUUGCAGCGUUACUAACACUUACUCAACUGCAACAACAGCGACAACUGCUACUGCUGUAACAGAGAUAAGAGAUGACGAAGUAACGAGCAAGAAAAGAGUCAACAGAUCUCCAUCGAAACUCCCCAGAAAGCGUCCGUACAAUGGCGAGAGAGAAAGAGGAAUAAAACCUCCGGGAAAGGGGGAGUUAUCAAGUCAAGCGACGACUACACAGCGUAAUGUGGGGUCUAGCAGAGUCGGAAGGGAUCUAGGUGAGAGGUCUGGCCGGCGGUCAAGGUCACCGGCGACGCGGAAGACGUCCGGUGGUGUUUCAAGGGGUGGUCGUGCGGGAGGGAGCCCAGCAAAUGUGACUGGAAAAUCCGGUGGCAGGCGAGGGGAAGCAGGGAGUGGAGUAAAGAAAGAGGAGAAAAGAGAAGAAAACGACAGCGUUUUGAUGCAGCAGCAGCAGGGGAAUGAGCCUGUUUCUCUUGAGAACCCACUUCUGUCCUUUGAAUGUUUCAUCUUUGUGUAAAUUUUUGCUUGUUUUAGAAAAUUUCCUUAUUUUAUAAUUUAGAAAUAUCAAAUUUAAAUCUCAAGAAUUUUUGUUAUUUUUAAAAAAUUU